UACGUAGGGUGCAAGCGUUGUCCGGAAUUAUUGGGCGUAAAGAGCUCGUAGGCGGUCUGUCGCGUCGGCUGUGAAAUCCCGAGGCUCAACCUCGGGUCUGCAGUCGAUACGGGCAAACUAGAGUAUUGCAGGGGAGACUGGAAUUCCUGGUGUAGCGGUGAAAUGCGCAGAUAUCAGGAGGAACACCGGUGGCGAAGGCGGGUCUCUGGGCAAUAACUGACGCUGAGGAGCGAAAGCGUGGGGGAGCGAAACAGG
rnacentral:rRNA from 1 species